UAUUUCUGAAGAUGGUAUAUUUUAACGAUAAGUCUGCUCGUUUUCCUUCUCCUAUUUUCAAAAAAAAGAGUCAUUCGUAGCCCAAAAGUGUUUCAAAUGGCUAUCAAGGGGGUAAAAGUAAAGGGGCGGUGUGGUUAAUAGUAAAUAUAGCUUCAGAGAUCGGCUCGACAGACAAUGAUAUUUUAUUUAUUUGUUUUUGCGCCCUAAGAAAACACCCGCGUGUUAAAUUGCUCGAACCGUUUUCCGAAGCCAGAACAAAACAAAACGAAAAAUCUAAAUGAAACGUGGGCGCAAAGAUGAAUUAAAAAAAGAAUAAUGAAAGUUACUCCGAGUUUCAAUCAAUUACAAAAUUGCUUGGCACGCGGAAAAAGUAUUGUUUUUCACGGCUGACACGUCUGUCUUUCUGUUGAACACGAAAAAGAGUGAAAUGAAAAACGAAAGAAAAAAAAAACAUAAAAAAGAACAUGCCUUAGACGUAACGUUUUACGAGCCUAAAUACAAAAAAAAAAAAA
rnacentral:sRNA from 1 species